CUCUCUAAAAUGGGAAAUUCAAAUUCUCUAUUCCUAUAUAUGUCAGCCCGAGAGUCUCAUUUCCUAUAUAUGCAACUCUUCAGGAGUCUAUUUGCAUUUGUGUUGUUUUAUCUUUGCACAAGAUUUCUUGGCAAAUCCUUCAAUAUGAUAUAAGAGCCUUGCUUGUUACAGCUGAAAUGCACUCUCAUUAUAUGCAAUUUCAAAUGUUCACACGACAAAUUCAACUUUGAUCAGCUAAUUGUGAAUUGACUUUUCUUCUUGCCUGGCGCAAAUUCUGAUAAUUAUUCACUCUGUGUAUUUCUACAAAUUCUUAUAAUUCCUUUGGCGAACAACAUUUGCAAAGAACAUGGAGCAGAGAAUAUGGAGAAUAAGGCGUGAUUUCUGGUUGUUAUUUUGUCAUAUAAGGAGGCAUUCUAUUGUCCGAGCAAUUUUUCAUCUUGGGCACCCCUUUGCCCUUCAUUUUCAGUGCUUUAUUUCACUUAGUCUGCCUUACAAAUAGAUGGACUUUGGCGCCCUUUUUUGAAGACUAUUUCAUAGAUUUUUUUUAGUUAAAUCUGUAAUCGUCUUGAAUUUGGAAAUUUCUUCUUGGGCUAUUGAAGUCUAUACAAAAAAAUUCCUAUUUUUUCCA